rnacentral:rRNA from 1 species
AUUGAACGCUGGCGGCAUGCCUUACACAUGCAAGUCGAACGGCAGCGCGGGAGCAAUCCUGGCGGCGAGUGGCGAACGGGUGAGUAAUACAUCGGAACGCGCCCAAUCGUGGGGGAUAACGCAGCGAAAGCUGUGCUAAUACCGCAUACGAUCUACGGAUGAAAGCAGGGGAUCGCAAGACCUUGCGCGAAUGGAGCGGCCGAUGGCAGAUAGGUAGUUGGUGAGGUAAAGGCUCACCAAGCCUUCGAUCUGUAGCUGGUCUGAGAGGACGACCAGCCACACUGGGACUGAGACACGGCCCAGACUCCUACGGGAGGCAGCAGU